ACUCGAGUGGCGAACGGGUGAGUAACACGUGGGUGAUCUGCCCUGCACUUCGGGAUAAGCCUGGGAAACUGGGUCUAAUACCGGAUAGGACGAUGGUUUGGAUGCCAUUGUGGAAAGUUUUUCGGUGUGGGAUGAGCUCGCGGCCUAUCAGCUUGUUGGUGGGGUAAUGGCCACCAAGGCGUCGACGGGUAGCCGGCCUGAGAGGGUGUACGGCCACAUUGGGACUGAGAUACGGCCCAG
rnacentral:rRNA from 1 species